GAAAAUUGGUGGAUUUCAAGUAAUCAAGCAAUCAAAGCUGGUGAGUUAUUCGACAAGGGCAAAGAAAUUGUACCCGAGGAUCGAUAGUUGGAGUACUAUAGAAAUUCGACUCCUGAAAUAGCUGGGUAGUAUUAAAUUAACCCUAUCAUGCUGUCAAAAUUUUAUUGUAUGGUGGGUAUUGCUUGCUGCAGUGAGCUAGAUUCUUUGAACUAGC